rnacentral:rRNA from 1 species
CCUACGGGAGGCUGCAGUGAGGAAUAUUGGUCAAUGGGCGCGAGCCUGACCCAGCCAAGUCGCGUGAAGGCUGACUGCCCUACGGGUUGUAAACUUCUUUUAUAAAGGAAUACCGUGAGGCACGUGUGCCCUUUUGGAUGUACUUUAUUAAUAAGCAUCGGCUAGCUCCGUGCCGGCAGCCGCGGUAAUACGGAGGUUCCGAGCGUUGUCCGGAUUUAUUGGGUUUCAAGGGAGCGUAGAUGGUGUGUUAAGUCAGCUGUGACAGUUUGCGGAUCAACCGGAAAAUUGCAAUGGAUACUGGCAGCCUGGAGUAUGGUAGAGGUAGGCGGAAGUCGUGGUGUAGCGGUGAAAUGCGUAGAUAUCACGAAGAACUCCGAUUGCGAAGGCAGCUUACUAAACGGCCACUGACAGUGAUGCUCGAAAGUGUGGGUAGCAAACAGGAUUAGAUACCCUAGUAGUC